rnacentral:rRNA from 1 species
GAUGAACGCUGGCGGCGUGCCUAAUACAUGCAAGUCGAGCGAACAGACGAGGAGCUUGCUCCUCUGACGUUAGCGGCGGACGGGUGAGUAACACGUGGAUAACCUACCUAUAAGACUGGGAUAACAUCGGGAAACCGGAGCUAAUACCGGAUAACAUGUUGAACCGCAUGGUUCAACAGUGAGAGACGGUCUUGGUGUCACUUAUAGAUGGAUCCGCGCCGCAUUAGCUAGUUGGUAAGGUAACGGCUUACCAAGGAAACGAUGCGUAGCCGACCCGAGAGGGUGAUCGGCCACACUGGAACUGAGACACGGUCCAGACUCCUACGGGAGGCAGCAGUAGGGAAUCUUCCGCAAUGGGCGAAAGCCUGACGGAGCAACGCGGCGUGAGUGAUGAAGGUCUUCGGAUCGUAAAACUCUGUUAUUAGUGAAGAACAAAUGUGUUAGUAACUAUGCACGUCUUGACGGUACCUAAUCAGAAAGCCACGGCUAACUACGUG